AACGAACGCUGGCGGCAGGCCUAACACAUGCAAGUCGAACGGGCGUAGCAAUACGUCAGUGGCAGACGGGUGAAUAACACGUGGGAACCUUCCUCGUAGUGCGGAACAACUCAGGGAAACUUGAGCUAAUACCGCAUACGCCCCGGAGCAAUCCGGGGGAAAGAUUUAUCGCUAUGAGACGGGCCCGCGUCCGAUUAGCUAGUUGGUGGGGUAACGGCCUACCAAGGCGACGAUCGGUAGCUGAUCUGAGAGGAUGAUCAGCCACACUGGGACUGAGACACGGCCCAGACUCCUACGGGAGGCAGCAGUGGGGAAUCUUGGACAAUGGGCGAAAGCCUGAUCCAGCCAUGCCGCGUGAGUGAAGAAGGCCUUAGGGUUGUAAAGCUCUUUUGGCAGGGACGAUAAUGACGGUACCUGCAGAAUAAGCCCCGGCAAACUUCGUGCCAGCAGCCGCCGUAA
rnacentral:rRNA from 1 species